GCGGAUGCCGUAGCGGUCAGAAAUCAUUAUCGCCGAAGACGAAGUUUUUGGUAUCUUCUCAUCCGGGAUUGAUUGCUGAUGCUGUCCACUUUGAACCCUCUCAGCACUGGAACCUUCCAAAGUGAGCCGGAGAAUUUAUUGAUGGAAUGCGGAUUCAACUGUGCAACUGAGUGAACAGAACUCCUUGAACAGAAAAGGGAAGUUCACCGCGAAUACGCAAAUUGUUUGUGACAUUAAUUGUGAAAAAUUGGAAUCGUCGAAAGAUGGCCCAGUUGUACCUAUGAAUCUUAUUUGAUCUCUAUAUAUGAGUGCGGAAAUAACAAUGGUACUGAUGAUGACAGCAAAGCAAACUAUUAAUUC